rnacentral:rRNA from 1 species
AUCCCAAUUUAUUGGGAUAGUGGCAGACGGGUGAGUAACGCGUAGGAAUCUACCUCUUGGUGUGGAAUAGCCUUCCGAAAGGAGGGGUAAUACCGCAUAAUCUUUACGAAGCAAAGGACGUAACUGUUCGCCGAGAGAGGAGCCUGCGUACUAUCAGCUAGUUGGUGGGGUAAAAGCCUACCAAGGCUAUGACGGUUAGGGGGCGUGAGAGCGCGAUCCCCCACAAGGUCACUGAGACACGGGGCCUACAUCUACGGAUGGCAGCAACUGGGAAUCUUGCGCAAUGGGCGAAAGCCUGACGCAGCGACACCGCGUGUGGGAAGAAUGCCUUCGGGUUGUAAACCACUGUGGCGAGGGAACAUAAUGAGGGUACCUCGCUAGAAAGCACCUGCUAACUACGUGCCAGAAGCCUCGGUAAUACGUAGGGUGCAAGCGUUAUCCGGAUUUAUUGGGCGUAAAGCGUCUGUAGGUGAUAUGUAGGUGGCUCGUUAAAGCCCACGGCUCAACUGUGGAAAAGCGAGUCAAACCGUAUAUCUAGAGUAUGUUAGGGGAGGUUGGAAUUCUCGGUGGAGGGGUGAGAUCCAUUGAUAUCGAGAGGAACGUCAAGGGCGAAGGCAAACCUCUGGGGCAUUACUGACACUAAGAGACGAAAGCUAGGGUAGCAAAAGGGAUUAGAGACCCCUGUAGUCCUAGCCGUAAACGAUGAAUACUAGCUGGGCGACUUUUGUUGUCUGGCGUAAGCUAACGCGUUAAGUAUUCCGCCUGGGUAGUACGGCCGCAAGGCUAAAACUCAAAGGAAUUGACGGGGAUCUGCACAACCGGUGGAGCAUGUGGUUUAAUUCGAUACAAAGCGAAGAAUCUUACCUGGGCUUGACAUGUACCUGCACGGCUUUGGAAACAUUGCCUUCUUCGAGAGUGGUACACAGGUGCUGCAUGGCUGUCGUCAGCUCGUGUCGUGAGAUGUCGGCUUAAGUGCCGUAACGAGCGCAACCCCUGCCGUAUGUUAAAUAUUCAUGCGGGACUGCCUUACAACAAGUAGGGGGGAAGGAGGGGAUGACGUCAAGUCAGCAUGGCCCUUACGUCCAGGGCUACACACAUCCUACAAUGGCGAGUACAACGGGUUGCGACCUAGUAAUAGUGAGCUAAUCCUUCAAAACUCGUCUCAGUUCGAAUUGAGGGCUGAAAUUCGCCCUCAUGAAGUUGGAAUCGGUAGUAAUCGUGGGUCAACAGACCGCGGUGAAUACGUUCUCAGAUCUUGUACACACUGCCCGUCAAGUCAGCA